CCCUUAGAUGUUCUGGCAGCACGCGCGCUACAAUGGUCUUCGCAAACGGAUGCAUUCUCGAAGGAGAAUGCCAAUCUUGGAAUCUAUGCCUUGGUCGGGACAGUUGCUUGCAAUUUUUCGACUCGAACCAGGAAUUCCUUGUAAUCGUGAUUCAUCACAUCACGAUGAAUACGUCCCUGCCCUUUGUACACACCGCCCGUCGCUCCUACCGAUCGAAGAGUUAGGUGAAUUGUUUUGAUCGAUAAGAUUUGACUAUGGUCAACUCUCGUUGUGAAAUUCUGUGAAUCUGACUGUUUAGAGGAAGGAAAAGUCGUAACA
rnacentral:rRNA from 1 species